AACGUAGGACGCAAGCGUUAUCCGGAAUUACUGGGCGUAAAGCGCGUGUAGGUGGUUUUAUAAGUCACUGUUGAAAGCGCCCGGCUAAACUGGGCGAGGUGCGGUGAGACUGUAGGACUGGAGUACGGGAGAGGGGUGCGGAAUUCCGGGUGUAGUGGUGAAAUGCGUAGAGAUCCGGAGGAACACCAGAGGCGAAGGCGGCACCCUGGCCUGAAACUGACACUGAGACGCGAAAGCAUGGGGAGCGAACGGG
rnacentral:rRNA from 1 species